rnacentral:tRNA from 1 species
GGCCCCGUGGCGAAACUGGUAUACGCCCCCGAUCUGGGAUCGGGGUUCCCUCCAGGAAUUGCGGGUUCGAGUCCCGCCGGGGCCACCA